CAGGUCCCAGAAUGGGCAGUCGUAGUUUAUCAGGUACCUGGGGGAAGAGCUUAAUCUGUGGAAACAAAGGUUAGGAAAUGGGCUCCAUCUCUACCUCCUUAGCCAGCACUGUUCAUGUCUCCAAGACAUCAUUUGAUGAGUAUUAGUGUUGUGUCCUGAUGUGGCUUCUGAAACAUAGGCCUGGUGGGUCUGCCUGUUCUUGGAGCACUGGGCCAGUGCUGAGUACUGUUAAAGUCUUGUUAUCUCAAUGCUAAUAUUAGUAAAAAGAUUUUAUCUUAAGUGCUUCUUAUCUUUAUUUUCUUGUAUAGGUCCAAGAAUACUGGUGUGGGAAAUGACUAGUUUCACUCACCAGUCGCCAGCUUUGGGACAUUUCCAGGGGACCUGACUGGCUGAGAAUGGGAUGUCGACCAGCUCUUAUGGGAGCACCAGCCACCUGGACACUCACAGACACUUGAUGGAGCUCCAUAAGAUCAAACCCCUUAUUCCAGAGCUGUGAGGCGAUCUCAGUUUGUGCAUCAGGUUGGCAUAAGACUGGCCAGCACAGGAACUCGGAGAUGAAGUUUAGAAGCCAGAGUGGUGAGAACGAGGGAGGAACAGACUCUCUGAGACAGGAUGUGAGAAGGCUACCUACGGUGAUGUCCAAUUCUCUGCCUGUUGAUUUUAAAACUAACAAUCAAUGUUUUAAAAUUUGUAUUUUUAGGACCAACUGACAUGGCAAUGGAUUAGUCUGCCACAUUUUCUGUGUACUCCUCUGCUGGUGGCACAUGGAUCAUCUCCAUGCUUUGCCUACCGCAGAGAAAGGGUCCAUGAGUGUGCAUAACUGAUUGAGCUCCUGUUAGGUCCUGAGGCUAAGCUCACAGCAGAGCACUGGGCUCCACAAUCGUCCUGCCAGGAGCUUGUUAUAGUGACCUUCCCUUAACAUUGUAGGGAGGUGUGUCUCUGAGUUUUCAAUUCUGUCCUAGCAGAGAACUAAGAGCCCAGGAUCCGUGCACAGGAUCAGGGAGCCAUGGUGGUAGAGACAGUAUAGAGGCCCAGAGAAGGGGACAGUGCAGCCACUGGCCACCCAUUUCCAUCCUGCCAGCCACCAGUGCAGGGGUGCAGGGGGCAGGGAGACUGGUCCAGUGAUGGCCAUCUUAAGAAUGCCUUGACGGAUUAAAACUGAUAAUGUUCUGGCAUGUGUAUCCAUUAAAGUUCAACACAUUUUCAAAGGUUAUAACAUAGUACAUGUUACAGGUAUGCCUUACAAUCCCACAAGUCAGAUAGUUCUAGAAAGGUCUAACCAUACUUUAAAGGAGAUAUGCAUGAGCAGAGGGGAGGUUAUGAGAUCUCCCAGAGAGAGAUUACAUAAUGCUUCAUUUACUUUACGUUUUUAAAAUAUUAAUGAGACAGAUGGCGCAGCUGCUGAAGAUUUAGACAUUUUAGAAAGGAGUGCUGAAUUAAAUUACCCUGUAUACUUUAAUGAUACGUUGACCUCAGAAUGGUAGUCAGGAAAUAUGUUGCAUUGGCAAAGAAGAUAAGCUUUUGCUUCAAGAGGAAGCAACAAUCUAUGGAUUCUUUCAAAGUUAAUAAAGAUUAGACUUGACUGUGGGAGACCUUCUGAAAAUCUUGGCUCCUGACAUGAAAGAUGUGAAGAAAGAGACCCAGAAAAACUACAAAACAGAUGACAUGAAGGACAGUCCCUGGUUUUGGGAACAGCUAAGAGACCAGCUGAGACACGCAUGUCUCUGGAGAAGCCAAUGAAUUUGUUUGACUACCUGGUUCUCAUCCUUUCAUCUGUCAUGGCGGGCGAUUUAUUCUACAGCUUGAUGAUAUGUUCAAACAGACGUAGAAGAUUGACAGAUGCAUUUCAUCUGCUCAAACAUAGAGCAAAGAAAUUAUCAUUAGCUGAUAAUGUGUACACUGCACAUUCCAUGCAUGUGUUAAUACAGAAAUGUCCUUACAAUGUUACCUAUAAAAGUUUAUGUGCUUUCAGAGCCAACUGAAAAGACACCACUGAAGACAAAGCAUCUAGCCCCAGGGGACCCAGCCUCACAGACUGCCUCAAUUGCUGUUUCCUCAAAAAUUGUAUCCAGGACAGUUUCAAAGUGUCCAGCCUCAUACAAUGUCUCUGCCAGGACUUCAGUUACAUCCCACACUUUCCUAUCCCACAGAGCCUGAACAGCAAAGGAGACAGCCAAGUCUCCCAAGACUUGUCCAAUAUCACGGUUUUCUAGGAUCCCCCCCACCUC
ensembl:lincRNA